rnacentral:rRNA from 1 species
UACGAAGGGGGCUAGCGUUGUUCGGAAUUACUGGGCGUAAAGAGCGCGCAGGCGGUCGUUCAAGUCGAGUGUGAAAGCCCCCGGCUCAACUGGGGAGGGUCACGCGAUACUGACCGACUCGAAGGCAGGAGAGGGUAGUGGAAUUCCCGGUGUAGUGGUGAAAUGCGUAGAUAUCGGGAGGAACACCAGUGGCGAAGGCGACUACCUGGCCUGUUCUUGACGCUGAGGCGCGAAAGCUAGGGGAGCAAACGGG